rnacentral:rRNA from 1 species
UACGGAGGGUGCAAGCGUUAUCCGGAUUUACUGGGUUUAAAGGGUAGCGUAGGUGGGUUGGUAAGUCAGUGGUGAAAUACUUUCGCUUAACGAAGGAACUGCCAUUGAUACUACCAGUCUUGAAUGUAGUGGAGGUAGGCGGAAUGCGUCAUGUAGCGGUGAAAUGCUUAGAUAUGACGCAGAACACCAAUUGCGAAGGCAGCUUGCUACACUACUAUUGACACUGAGGCACGGAAAGCGUGGGGAUCAAACCAGG